GGCGCAGUGGCGGAGUGGUCUAACGCGAUAGACUAGAACAAUUUCUGAGAGCAUCAAUGGUGUUCCUCAGUAGGUCUCUAGCCCAUCUAUUCCCUUCGGGGGCGUCUGUUCGAAUCAGGCCUGCGUCG